rnacentral:rRNA from 1 species
AUGUCAGCAGCCGCGGUAAUACGUAGGGGCCAAGCGUUGUCCGGAGUUACUGGGCGUAAAGGGUGCGCAGGCGGUGGGUUACGUCGUGUGUGAAAGCCCCCGGCUUAACCGGGGAGGGUCGCGCGAAACGGGCUCACUGGAGGCAAGGCGAGGUCGGUGGAAUUCCCGGUGUAGUGGUGAAAUGCGUAGAGAUCGGGAGGAACACCAGAGGCGAAGGCGGCCGACUGGACUUGACCUGACGCUGAGGCACGAAGGCGUGGGGAGCGAACGGGAUUAGAUACCCCGGUAGUCCACGCAGUAAACGAUGGAUACUAGGUGUGGCGGGAGUUGACCCCGGCCGUGCCGGAGCUAACGCAGUAAGUAUCCCGCCUGGGGAGUACGGCCGCAAGGCUAAAACUUAAAGGAAUUGACGGGG